rnacentral:rRNA from 1 species
GACGAACGCUGGCGGCGUGCUUAACACAUGCAAGUCGAACGGAAAGGCCCUGCUUUUGUGGGGUGCUCGAGUGGCGAACGGGUGAGUAACACGUGAGUAACCUGCCCUUGACUUUGGGAUAACUUCAGGAAACUGGGGCUAAUACCGGAUAGGAGCUCCUGAUGCAUGGUGGGGGUUGGAAAGUUUCGGCGGUUGGGGAUGGACUCGCGGCUUAUCCGCUUGUUGGUGGGGUAGUGGCUUACCAAGGCUUUGACGGGUAGCCGGCCUGAGAGGGUGGCCGGCCACAUUGGGACUGAGAUACGGCCCAGACUCCUACGGGAGGCAGAAGGGGGGAAUAUUGCACAAUGGGCGGAAGCCUGAUGCAGCAACGCCGCGUGCGGGAUGACGGCCUUCGGGUUGUAAACCGCUUUCGCCUGUGACGAAGCGUGAGUGACGGUAAUGGGUAAAGAAGCACCGGCUAACUACGUG